GACGAACGCUGGCGGCGUGCCUAACACAUGCAAGUCGAGCGGAGAUGAUGUGAGGAAGUUUUCGGAUGGAAUCACAUUAUUUUAGCGGCGGACGGGUGAGUAACGCGUGAGCGACCAACCUUGCACAGGGGGAUAACGGACCGAAAGGUUCACUAAUACCGCAUGAGACCACGGGGUUGCAUGACACAGAGGUCAAAGGAGAGAUCCGGUGCGAGACGGGCUCGCGUCCGAUUAGGUAGUUGGUGGGGUAACGGCCCACCAAGCCUAUGAUCGGUAGCCGACCUGAGAGGGUGAUCGGCCACAUUGGAACUGAGAUACGGUCCAAACUCCUACGGGAGGCAGCAGUGGGGAAUAUUGGGCAAUGGGGGAAACCCUGACCCAGCAACGCCGCGUGAAGGAAGAAGGUUUUCGGAUUGUAAACUUCUGUCCUUGGUGAAGAGAAGAAGACGGUAGCCAAGGAGGAAGCCCCGGCUAACUACGUGCCAGCCGCCGCAGUAA
rnacentral:rRNA from 1 species